UCCGUAGGUGAACCUGCGGAAGGAUCAUUAUUGAUUGGCCUAACGGCCGUUUCAUAACUCCAAACCUCUGUGAACUGUUGACCUCCGGGUCUAAUACAAACAUCAGUGUAAUGAACGUCUAUUUAUUUUAACAAAUAAAACUUUCAACAACGGAUCUCUUGGCUCUCGCAUCGAUGAAGAACGCAGCGAAAUGCGAUAAGUAAUGUGAAUUGCAGAAUUCAGUGAAUCAUCGAAUCUUUGAACGCACCUUGCGCCUUUUGGUAUUCCGAAAGGCAUGCCUGUUUGAGUGUCAUGAAAUCUCAACCCCUUCAGGUUUCUGAUCUGAGGGUGGCUUGGAAUUGGACGUGUGCCAGUAAUGGCUCGUCUUAAAAGGAUUAGUGGGAUCUCGACAUCCACGGUUAGACGUAAUAAGUUUCGUCUUGCCUCUUGUCGUAGGCCUGCUUAUAACCCGCCAUCGCGCACCUUUUGACUCUGACCUCAAAUCAGGUAGGGCUACCCGCUGAACUUAAGCAUAUCAAUAAGCGGAGGA
rnacentral:rRNA from 1 species